CCGUGCUAGGCGGGGAGCUCGUGGUGCCCUGUACCCCCAAUCCACGCACGGGGGGCUGAACUCCCACCCGAGGCCCGGACCGUCGCAUGAUCGGUCCCGGCGUCGCGUCGAGGGCCGGGUCCUGCGCAACGGGAUCCCGCGAACCGAGUCAGGUCCGGAAGGAAGCAGCUCUCAGCGGAUCGUCCCGUGUGCCGCAGGCACACCUGGCCUGAGUGGCGUCGGAUCACCGCUCCGCGACGAGCCCGAGUCGACGGUGGGUGCACGG
rnacentral:SRP_RNA from 1 species